UACGUAGGGGGCAAGCGUUGUCCGGAUUUAUUGGGCGUAAAGCGUCCGCAGGCGGUUCGGUAAGUUCGACGUGACAGUGCCCGGCUCAACUGGGCAAGGACGUUGGAAACUACCAGACUUGAGGGCUUCAGAGGGAUGCGGAAUUCCGGGUGGAGUGGUGAAAUGCGUAGAUAUCCGGAGGAACACCAAAGGCGAAGGCAGCAUCCUGGGAAGUCACUGACGCUCAUGGACGAAAGCCAGGGGAG
rnacentral:rRNA from 1 species